rnacentral:rRNA from 1 species
UACGGAGGGGGCCAGCGUUGUUCGGAAUCAUUGGGCGUAAAGGGCGCGUAGGCGGCCACGUCAGUCGGUUGUGAAAUCCCUCGGCUCAACCGAGGAACUGCGACCGAUACUGCGUGGCUUGAGUCCCGGAGAGGGUAGCGGAAUUCCCAGUGUAGCGGUGAAAUGCGUAGAUAUUGGGAGGAACAUCGGUGGCGAAGGCGGCUACCUGGACGGGUACUGACGCUGAGGCGCGAAAGCUAGGGGAGCAAACAGG